rnacentral:lncRNA from 1 species
AUGACAGAGAGGAGGGGAAGGGACAAGAAAGAAGAAGAAGAAGGAGAGCGGGAGAGGGAGGUGGGUAGAGGCAGCAGGAUCGGGGGUGGGGUUGGGGGCGCGGGCGGCGGGCGGCGGGCGGGGGUCGGGGGUCGGGGGUCGGUGUGGGCCGGCAGAGGGCGCCGGCGGGCGGCGCGGGCGGUGGUGCGGGCGGUGUCCGGUGUCGGCCGGCAGAGGGCGCUGGCGGGGGGGGUCCGGGGCUCGGCGGAGCCGCCCGACGCUCGGGGACCAGGGGACCCGGACGGGGACACACGGGCAGCGGCUCACGGACACACACACCGGACACGGACACACACUCACACACGCGGAGGACAGACGGGCCCCGGGGGCGCGACACCGGACCCCCCGCCGCCCCUGACACGUAUCCCCGGCGCCGUGGCCGGGUCCGUGCAGCGCGGGGCCGCGGGACAGAGGCGGUAGUCUUCCUGAAGUCCUGAAGAUUGGAAGAAAAUAAACCAGCAGCUGACAGACAACUGGUAAAUACCCCUCUGAAGUCAUUCGCUGAGUUUCAGCUGCCCUACCAUCUUCUCAGAAUUAACAUUGACGUGUUGGAUAUCCAAGAAACCUGACCAGGUCCCAAAGGUACUUUUUUUUUUAAAUGGUAUUUGUUAAGCGCUUACUAUGUGUCGAGCACUGUUUUAAGCACUGGGGCAGAUACAGGUCAAUCAGGCGGUACACAGUCCCUGCCCAACAUGGGUCUCACAGUCCGUGGACGAAAGAGAACAGGAAUUCAAUCUCCAUUUUACAGAUGAGGCAACUGAGGCACUGAGAAGUUAGGUGAUUUGCCCAGGUCACACAACAGGCAAUUGGCAGAGCUGGGAUUAGAAUCCAGGUCUUCGGACUCCCAGGUCCCUGAUCUUUCCACAAAACCAGUGCUGCUUCUACUUCAGAAGAUAUUCUUAGCCUCUGACACUUUAAAUGCUUUUCUCUUUCUUGGUUUUAGCCGAAGACAAUGCCUGUCUUUCAGAAACGUACCUCUCGAUUUUAGCAGAAGCUCAGUCGAUCAAUCAGUUGUAUCUAUUGAGUGCUUACCUUGUGCAGAGCGCUGUACUAAGCUCUUUGGAGAGUUCAAUACAACAGAGUUGUUAGACAUGUUCCCUGCACACAAUCUAGAGGGAAUAACAAGUCUUUCUUUCAGAACCCAUCUACCUUAUGAAUCUUUCCAGUCUUUAGAGGAGCGAGGCGUGUGCCUAAACCUAGCAGGGCAGAAACGUGUCUCGUGCUUUUUCCAAGCACUUAGUACGGUCCACUGCAGUCAGAUGCUCAAAACACAGCAUUGCUACUCUGUACUUUGCUACUACGUUACUGAAAUACAUUUUUGUGGUUGUAGAUACUCCAGGGGCCAGUUAUGGUUCUCUCUCCAGUCUUUAUCAGAGCUGGUCCUCUUUAGGGAUGUAGGAGAUAAGAUUCUGGCUUCUUUGAUCAGAUGAUCAUUCAAUCCUUUGACAGCAGACAAGAUAAGUGUCCCCUCCCCCCCACAACAACCUAAAUUUUCAUGGUUUCAAGUACAAGCCUCCAUCCCCUCUCUUCUACAUUUCUCUUUUCCUGAAAAUGUACACCUCUCUUCAAUUGUAUUUUCAGCCAGUAAGUCUAGAGGUCAAGAAUUAAGCCUAAUUGUAAAUUUUGCAGCUACCAUCUUGGAGUUACCAUCAUUAACCAGUGUAGACAAUCGGGUCACUUUAUUAUGGACCCUGCCGCAUUGAUCUGCUGUAAAUCGUCCUUAGUGCUUGGGUUUAAUAAAUUUACUUACUGUUAGUAACAAAGUAAGAUGGGACCAGGGCAUCCUCUGUGGUGAUAAAUUCAGCUGAGAGGCAGAGGGGCUUCCAGAGGGGCUUCCAGAGGAGAGCAACCUUAAAAUAAAACACACACUGAGAUAAAUCAGGGAAGGCAAACAUUGGCAAAAGCAGAACUGUGGACUGUGGUGUGACUGAGGACAUCAGGGACCCACUUUCCUCAGAAGGGAAUGGUUUAUUGCUGAUUGCGAAGCAGCAUGGAUUAAUGGAUAGAACGGGGGCCUGGGAGUCAGAAGGAUCUGGGUUCUAAUUCCUGCUCUGCCACUCAUCUUCCGAGUGACCUUGAGCAAGUCAACUGUCUUCUCUGUGCCUCAGCUACCCCAUUUGUAUUCAUUCACGCAAUUGAUUCAAUCGAAUUUAAUGAGUGCUUACUGUGUGCAGAGCACUGUACUAAGCGCUUGGGAAAGUAUACUAAGCGCUUGGGAAAGUACAAUGAUGCAAUAGAGACAAUCCCUGCCCAAAACGAGCUCACAGGUUAGAGGGGGGAGACAGACAUCAAAGACAACUACGUGGGGCUUGCCUCACCUCCUCUGGGGUAAUGUUGGAGCUGCAGAUUUCCAUGUAUCCCCACCCGGUGCAGGAUUCAAUCCAUCAGUGGUAUUUAUUGAGCGCUCACUGUGUGUAGAGCACUGUAAUAAGCACUACAGAGAGGACAAUACAACAGAGUUGGUAGACGCGAUCCCUACCUGUGAGGAGCUCAUGGUCUACAGGGGGAGGCAGUCAAAUAUGAAUUUCAGAUAGGGAAAAUGGUACAUAUCAGGAUAAGUGACUCCUGGGCACUUUACAUUUUGAUUUUCUUUUGUAAAUCCUUUUUCAUUCUCCCUCCUUGCCCCCUCCCCCACCAACCAAAUCCCCAAUAUUCCAGAAAUCUCAAUCUCUUGGUGAAGGAUCAUCCAUGUAGUACAUUUCCUAGUUUUACUCCUUUGUUUGCAGCCUAAUUCUUUUCAAUUUAUCAACAUAGAACUGCAGGCCACCUGCCAGUGCAAACACUUAAAAGAUUAAAGUCCUCUCGACUAUGUCAGCUUCUUCCCCUUUUUGGUUUUAGAGGCUUUGUGCUCCAAAAUGCUCUUCACAGCAUCCUCAUCAAGCUCAAUUAACUAGCAACUGGCUCAACCCAGCCUUUAAUAUCCCUGUCAAUAAAUAUCCUAGCAGAUCUUGAGCUGAACUUCCCUGAACUCUGUACAGUCAUUUGGAAGCUCUGAUUCUUCUAAGUCGGACUGUUUGUAUCAUCCGCCGGCAUCUGUGACCGUUUCUCCUUUUGUUUUAAUUCUGCUUCUCCAAAUUCUUCACGUCUAUCCUUUUGGAGGCCUUACCUCAACUUUCUAAUGUUGACCUUUCUUCUCUUGGGAAGCAGCAUGGCCUAGUGGAAAGAGCCCAGGUUUGGAAGUCAGAAGACCUGAUUUCUAAUUCCGACUCUGCCACUUGCUUGCUGUGUGACCUUGGGCAAGUCAUUUAACUUCUCUGUGUCCAUUUCUUCAACUGUAAAAUGGAGAUUUAAUACCCGUUCUUACUCCUACUUAGAAUGAGCCCCAAGUGGGACAGGGACUCUGUCCGACCUGAUAAAUUUGUACCUGUCCCAGAUUUUAGAACAGUACUUGACACCUCGUGCCUUACAAAUACCAUAGUUAUUAUUGGGUUAAAUUCAUUCCAUCCUUGCUCCUUUCCCUCUUACAAACUGGUACUUGUUUUCCCCGGUUCAAAUUCAGAAUAACUCCAGGAACUUCAUCUGCCGUUUUUCCCGAUCUGGAAACUAUUACUUUUUGUUGAUGUGGCCAUGAGAGCAGAGACCAGUGACCUGCCUAGUUUCUAGUACGUAUUGUCCGUGUUCGGGGGAAAAUUUUAAAAGAUGCAAAAAUAGUACUGUCAACUAGGAUGAGGCAAUUGCUUAUUUUGUUUUUCCUCCCUAAACACACAUUGUAGUCGCUACUGUGAUGGACUUUGUGUGUUUUUUUCUUUUAUUUUUACUGAUUCUGCUUGUUCUAAAAAUUCCCGGCAGUGAGCCGUAUACACAGUUAGCUUAGCUCGAUAAAUGUUAGUUGGUUUUUCUUUCUCCACUGGUGCUUUUGAAAUGUCUUCUGUUUUCUUUAAUGCUCUGCUCCUUUCAUUUCCCUACUUUACUAUGUUAGUUUGUGGCUUGCCUGGUUAAUUUUUUUUUUUUGCCCCCUCUUCAAACUUAGGGGGACUGAAUUUUGAUUUUAGCUUCUUCAAUUGUUGCUGUCAAGUUUUUCUCAUUCUAUUGUUGAUUUCCCUUGAACCAUUGAAUUCUAUCCAGUCUGUUCAUUUUGCAUUCCUUCUGUACCUCCUGUCCCAAAGUCUUAAUUUUUUUUCUUUCCUGUUCUAAAACUGAUCAGUAAUUUAGCCCUUGUGUUCUGAUGACUGGAUCUUUGGUGCCCUGAAAUUUGACUUUUCAUCAGAGUUGCUUGAUUAAAUUAGAUUUUAAAAAAAAUAUUCCCCACCUUAGUUACUUUUUCUGGAAUUUCUUUAUGGCGUUUAUCUGUGUCAUCCCUCUGCAGUCUGUAGUGACAAGGAAUGCUUUGCUCAACCCCAAAACCUACAAAUUAUGGACAGUAGCGAGGCAUUCUUUCCAUAAUAAAACAUUGUACACAGCCCAUUUUCUAGGGAAUAGGGGAAAAAGCCGGGGAAAUAGAUAUUUUGGGAGCCUGCUACUUUUUUAGGUAACUUCUAACACCUUCAAACCUCCUGAAUCUUCAUCGGGUUCAACCUCCAGAUUCACUCAAUCAUGGUUAUUUGUUGAGCACCUACCGUAGGCAGAGGUCUGUACUAGGCAUUUGGCAGACAAGCUUCCUUGUUCUCCUGGAGUUUAGGAUGUAGGAUUCCUGAACAUUGAUACAAUGUUGAUAUUUAUGUAGAUUUAAGAGAUAAUCUCUGCUUGCUGUUGAUUUCGUAGAAAGCAAGUGGUCUGUAGGAGGAAUGGCUUACGUUAGAAGGUGUGUUCAAAGCCAACCGAAGACACUGGCAGAAAGACCAGCCCAGUGUUUUUCAUUCGAUGUUUCCUUUACCAAAUGACCUAAAGAGAAGUAAAACUUCAAGUGUUUAUUAAGCAGACUUAUUGGUUCUUGGCACAAAGCCCCGUGACUCAGAGUCAAACUGGACUAAUUUGGGGGCGGGUAGACAGAGAAACAUUUGCCGUUUCAAGUUGUCCUGUUACAUCAAAGCCUCCAAACGUCUUCAGCCUUACUAUGUUCCUGCCAGAUCUCGAAAAUUAAUAGGCUUUCGAGAAGCGAAGCAUUGAGUGGCUCCACUUAGAAAACCGCCUACGUCCGGAAUGCCGAUUUUUUCAGGUAUUGCUCUGAACUCAGAUUAAGAAAAAUCCUCGGAUUCUGAGUCUUCUCCACAUUUCAGCCUGAAGCUGGAGAGCAUUUGAUUGGUAGACAGCUUCCCAGCGCACAGUCACAGUCUGUCCUCCUUCAGAGCCCUCUGGGAAAAGCACCUCCUCCCGGAGCCUUCCCUGAU